UACGAGGGGGGCGAGCGUUGUUCGGAAUUAUUGGGCGUAAAGGGUCCGUAGGCGGUGCGGUAAGUCGGGAGUGAAAUCUCUGGGCUUAACUCAGAGGCUGCUUCCGAAACUACCGUGCUAGAGUGCGAGAGAGGCAAGUGGAAUUGCGGGUGUAGCGGUGAAAUGCGUAGAUAUCCGCAGGAACAUCCGAGGCGAAAGCGGCUUGCUGGAUCGCAACUGACGCUGAGGGACGAAAGCUAGGGGAGCAAACAGG
rnacentral:rRNA from 1 species